rnacentral:rRNA from 1 species
UAUUAUCCCUAUAGGUAGUUAACAAACCAAUACAUACUGGCGGUCAUUACUUUUUAGAGAAACUCGCUUUAUAAUCGUAAAUACCCGUUAAAUUUUACUUUAUUUUAAAGUUUAUAUACCGCCGUUUCAGAACUUAAUACAAAUUAAAAUUCCUUUCAUUUAAAUAUAAAAAAUCAGGUCAAGGUGUAACCAAUAAUAAUGAAAAAGUAAGUUACAUUAAAAAUAAUUUAAGGAAAAAUUUAAAAAUUAAAUAAUGAAAAAGAAUUUAUAUGUAAAUAUCAACUAAAAUUUGAUAUCGAAAUAAUAAGUAAAGAUGC